CCUACGGGAGGCAGCAGUGGGGAAUAUUGGGCAAUGGGCGCAAGCCUGACCCAGCAACGCCGCGUGAAGGAAGAAGGCUUUAGGGUUGUAAACUUCUUUUCUGAGGGGCGAAGAAAGUGACGGUACCUCAGGAAUAAGCCACGGCUAACUAAGUGCCAGCAGCCGCGGUAAUACGUAGGGGGCAAGUGUUAUCCGGAUUUCUUGGGUGUAAAGGGCGUGUAGGCGGGAAAGCAAGUCAGAUGUGAAAACUCAGGGCUCAACCCUGGGCCUGCCUUUGAAACUGUUGUUCUUGAGUGCUGGAGAGGCAAUCGGAAUGCCGUGUGUAGCGGUGAAAUGCGUAGAUAUACGGAGGAACACCAGUGGCGAAGGCGGAUUGCUGGACAGUAACUGACGCUGAGGCGCGAAAGCGUGGGGAGCAAACAGGAUUAGAUACCCCGGUAGUC
rnacentral:rRNA from 1 species